GAUGAACGCUAGCGGGAGGCCUAACACAUGCAAGCCGAGCGGUAUCGUCUCUUCUGAUAUGAGAGAGCGGCGUACGGGUGCGUAACACGUCUGCAACCUGCCUUUAUCUGGGGGAUAGCCUUUCGAAAGGAAGAUUAAUACUCCAUAAUAUAUUGAACGGCAUCGUUUAAUAUUGAAAGCUCCGGCGGCUAGAGAUGGGCACGCGCAAGAUUAGCUAGUUGGUUAGGUAACGGCUCACCAAGGCGAUGAUCUGUAGGGGGCCUGAGAGAGUGAUCCCCCACACGAGAACUGGGACACGGACCAGGCUCCUGCGACAGGCAGCAGUGAGGAAUAUUAGGCAGUGGGUGCAAGCCUGAACCAGCCAUCCCGCGUGAAGGACGGCUGCCCUAUGGGUUGUAAACUUCUUUUGUGUAGGGAAAAUCCUACCCUCGAGAAGGUAGCUGAAGGUACUAGACGAAUAAGCACCGGCUAACUCCGUG
rnacentral:rRNA from 1 species